rnacentral:lncRNA from 1 species
AUUUUUUGAUAACUCCAUCAUAAGCUAAAAAUGACCAAUAAUAAUUUUAGUAGUAAUAAUAGACAUUAGAAUACUGAAUCCUUUAAGGUGGCAAAAUCAUCUAGAUAUGAUCCAGAUCCCCAAGGUAGUAAGCAAUCACUUUACUAUCUUUUUAAUAAAAGUAUUUCUAGCCAAUAUACCAUGAAAAUAGUCAAGUUCAGUUUAUCAUAAGGGCUAUUGAGAUCAGAAUAUCAUAAGUUGAAUGAUUGCAAAUUAUUCCUUUUAUAUGUGCAACAAUAUCCAAAAGUUCAACAUAUGCUGUAUCCAUAUCAAGUUCUUAUCAAUCACUGCUAAAUGAUAGCAAACACUAUUCAUGACAAUAAUGCAAUGUGACACAAAUAUUUGAUAAAAACUUUGUUUUGUUCUGUGUUUCAAAGUGACUGCCAACCAUUUCUUCAUAAUAAUCUCCAGAUUUUAGUCAAAUAAAAAUCAUCUAUACCUUCCAUAUAUAUAUUCACUGUUACUUCCAGCAUGAGUUAUGAUGAAUUAGUCUGCUGCCACUUGACUGUUUCAGACCUGUUGUUAAAUUUGUACAUUUAGUCUACAGACUACUUAUAAUGAUAUUGUCUUUGUGUCUUGAUCCUUUUAUGACUUGAAUUUACCAAGGUUUUAUCCAAGAAAUAGAUUUUCUCCUUUUGUUGUUUAUGCUUUUCUAUCAGUCUGAAAUACUGCUUCUGCCAUUAAAUAUCAGAUUGCUCUAGCUAUACAGCAUUCCUAAUAUGCUUGGCAAAAUAAAGCCAACAUCUUUCAAUAUACAUCUCAAUGUAGAUUUCUUAAUGUACUUUGGGGAAAAUUCUAUUAUUGUUCAUCUCUGGCAAAAGUUUAAUCAUAUUAAAGUUCAUUUAUUUGGGGAAAAAACAAACUUUCUUACAAAUGCACAAAAGAAAUAUACUCGUCAUAUCUUAUCAAAUAGUCCAUUUGCCAAUACCACGAAUCCUAUUCUUGCUGAAAAUAGUUGGAUCUUUGCCUGUACAUAAUGUUCCUUAACCUUUAUCUUGAAAAUUGUUGUCUGCAACACUCCAGCCAAAUUUGCUGUUUGGUCAAUAAUUUUUGUGUGCUGUCCUCUGAAUUUUCUUGUCACAGUCUUUCAUGAUUCAAAACAUUGUUUCUGGCUGUGCUUUGCAGUGGUGUACUUUGUCAGCUUUUAGAAAAAAAAUGUUCUGGUAAUAACAGAAGAGAAUAUUUGUCUUUAGUUAUUGGCCAUGAUUUAUAAUAAACAAUGGUUUGAAAAUUGUUACUUAUAUAUUGUAUAUAUGAGGGGUGCAGAGCAGAAGUGGUGUAAGUCCAAAAUUGACAUUUUUGAGGCAACUACAUACCAGUGUACGAAUUAUACUGUAUAUUGUAGAGGUGAACUUUUUUAAGUCCAAAGGGCUAUAUUUAGCUCAUAGAUGGCGUGACUUUACUACAGCUAUUACAAAUUA